GAUGAAUGCUAGCGGCGUGCUUGAGAUAUGCAAGUCGAGCGCCCCGCUCAAUCCCCGCAAGGGGGCUGAACGGGAGCGGCGGACGGCUGAGUAAUAUACAGGAACCUGCCCCUAGGUAGAGAAUAGCCCCGAGAAAUCUGGGGUAAUGCUUUAUGGUCCCCGCCUUUGGCGGGGUAAAGGACAUAACUGUCCGCCAAGGGAUGGGCCUGUAUCCUAUCAGGUUGUUGGUAAGGUAAUGGCUUACCAAGCCUAUGACGGGUAGCUGAUCUAAGAGGAUGAUCAGCCAGAGGGGGACUGAGACACGGCCCCCACUCCUACGGGAGGCUG
rnacentral:rRNA from 1 species